rnacentral:rRNA from 1 species
CCUCGGAUCAGGUAGGAAUACCCGCUGAACUUACAACAGGGAUUGCCCUAGUAACGGCGAGUGAAGCGGCAACAGCUCAAAUUUGAAAUCUGGCUCUCGGGCCCGAGUUGUAAUUUGUAGAGGAUGCUUUUGAUGCGGUGCCUUCCGAGUUCCCUGGAACGGGACGCCAUAGAGGGUGAGAGCCCCGUCUGGUUGGAUGCCAAAUCUCUGUAAAGCUCCUUCGACGAGUCGAGUAGUUUGGGAAUGCUGCUCUAAAUGGGAGGUAUAUGUCUUCUAAAGCUAAAUACCGGCCAGAGACCGAUAGCGCACAAGUAGAGUGAUCGAAAGAUGAAAAGCACUUUGAAAAGAGAGUUAAAAAGUACGUGAAAUUGUUGAAAGGGAAGCGUUUAUGACCAGACUUGGGCUUGGUUAAUCAUCUGGGGUUCUCCCCAGUGCACUUUUCCAGUCCAGGCCAGCAUCAGUUUUCGCCGGGGGAUAAAGGCUUCGGGAAUGUGGCUCUCUCCGGAGAGUGUUAUAGCCCGUUGCGUAAUACCCUGGCGGGGACUGAGGUUCGCGCAUCUGCAAGGAUACUGGCGUAAUGGUCAUCAACGA